AAACCGUUCAGGGGUAAACCUGAGAAACCCAAAAGAUCGAAGGGGGAGAUUCAACGUCAGCGGCUGUCGGCUUCCGUGCGGCGCUCGAUGUCGCGGGACUUCGGUUCCGCGGCACGUCGCCGCCUGCGGUCAUGUCCGGCGUCGUCGGCGUGCACUUCUCCCCUUGUAGAACGUCGCGACCCGCUGGGUGUCGGCCUAAGGCUUCGGGGGUAAGCCUGCGGCGCGUUGCUUCACGGCGCGCGUCUCAGACCCUCGUUUUGGCCCGGCCGACUGCUCGGCGGUACACGCACGGUAUCGGGUCGCACGCUGCCAGAUGUGCGUCGGGCCCGUCGCAAGCGCGGCCAUGUGUAAUAUUCGGGUGGUACGGAAAUCAAAGCCGACCCCGAGCAUGGCACGCUGUUGGUUGACGGUGUCCUCCGACCGACCCGCUCGCUUCGCGCGAGCACGAUAUACCGGUCUGCGACGCUACUGCUUUGGGUACUUUCAGGA
rnacentral:rRNA from 1 species